rnacentral:rRNA from 1 species
GACGUAGGGCGCGAGCGUUGUCCGGAUUUAUUGGGCGUAAAGAGCUCGUAGGUGGCUUGUCGCGUCGAAUGUGAAAACUCGGGGCUCAACUCCGAGCUUGCAUUCGAUACGGGCAGGCUAGAGUUCGGUAGGGGAGACUGGAAUUCCUGGUGUAGCGGUGAAAUGCGCAGAUAUCAGGAGGAACACCGGUGGCGAAGGCGGGAUCCUGGGCCAGUACUGACGCUGAGGAGCGAAAGCGUGGGGAGCAAACAGG